CCUACGGGGGGCAGCAGUGAGGAAUAUUGGUCAAUGGACGAGAGUCUGAACCAGCCAAGUAGCGUGAAGGAUGACUGCCCUAUGGGUUGUAAACUUCUUUUAUAUGGGAAUAAAAUGUUCCACGUGUGGGAUUUUGUAUGUACCAUAUGAAUAAGGAUCGGCUAACUCCGUGCCAGCAGCCGCGGUAAUACGGAGGAUCCGAGCGUUAUCCGGAUUUAUUGGGUUUAAAGUGAGCGUAGGUGGAUUGUUAAGUCAGUUGUGAAAGUUUGCGGCUCAACCGUAAAAUUGCAGUUGAAACUGGCAGUCUUGAGUACAGUAGAGGUGGGCGGAAUUCGUGGUGUAGCGGUGAAAUGCUUAGAUAUCACGAAGAACUCCGAUUGCGAAGGCAGUUCACUGGACUGCAACUGACACUGAGGCUCGAAAGUGUGGGUAUCAAACAGGAUUAGAUACCCCUGUAGUC
rnacentral:rRNA from 1 species